UGUUAGGGGAGAAGCUGCUGCCCGAACAGUCACACACCAUUCAAGUUGUUGCAUACAUACCACCUGAGACUUUAAUUGCUGGAACAGGAGUUCCUCUGCAGCAGGUGGCUCCAUUUUUUUAACAGGCAGGCCGAUAGGAAAUGAUUUCCCCACGGGACAGAGCUAGAGGCCAGAGUGAACUUUCCACACCAUUUCAUAGCUAUCCAGGCUAAGAACAGGCAUCAAGCUACAGCAAGGUUCAACAGGAGGUGUACUUAAAUCAUGGAAAAAGCAAGAUCUGUAUCUGCUGGGUGCCAGUAUUCAAAUAACACUCAGAACAAUCUCUGCUGUGCAAUGUACAUAGACACGGCCUUAAUUUUUUAAUCCCUCAUCUGCAUUCUCUAGUACACAAGGCUUUGUUACACAGGAACCUGUCAGCUUUCUCUUUGGACUGUACCAUCCCACCAUCUGCAGAUGGGACUGGGUUGCAUCAAGGCUGCCUUGUGCUCAGGUAUCCCCUAGUGAUUCAGACUGUC